rnacentral:rRNA from 1 species
GCCAGCACUGACACUCCCCUGCAACUACCAGUUGGCAAACCCCUGAAAUUAAGCAGGUGUGAGCCUGGUCAGUACCUGGAUGAGAGAUCUGCUGGGAAAGCUAAGGUUGCUGCCG